GACGUAGGGGGCCAGCGUUGUUCGGAAUUACUGGGUGUAAAGGGUUCGUAGGCGGUGCGGCAAGUCGGGAGUGAAAUCUCUGGGCUUAACCCAGAGGCUGCUUCCGAAACUGCUGUGCUUGAGUGUGGUAGAGGAAGGUGGAAUUCCAGGUGUAGCGGUGAAAUGCGUAGAUAUCUGGAGGAACACCGAUGGCGAAGGCAGCCUUCUGGGCCACAACUGACGCUGAGGUACGAAAGCGUGGGUAGCAAACAGG
rnacentral:rRNA from 1 species